rnacentral:lncRNA from 1 species
CUGAAACAGGCAGCGUCUACACAGGUCAGCUAGUCUAAGCUGCUGCACAGUGACGAUGCUAUAAGCAUUAUUAGCCUAUUUUCGAGACAGCAAAACUGAGGCCCACGGAGCUUAUGUGACCUGCCAGCCUCACACAGCUGGCAAGGGGCAGGCCUGGGGUUCAAAGCCCACAUGUUCACUGUCCUGUGGUGGCCCUGCCUCUCUGCAAAUCCCUUGGAACAUUUGAACAACAUGAUGACCUUGCUCAGGAGCUUCUGAGCCCCACAGAGAGUAACCUCAGUUAAGUGCCUGGCACACGGAUGCUGGGUCAGGUUGGUGCCUUUGCGUCCUGCCAGGACAGAUGUGAGUUGUGUCAUAAAUCCUUGUUGCCAAGCAACAAUUCUGACCACCUGCUGAGCCCCAGCAUGCAGUGGGGCUGCCAGGGUCUGUCCUGGCCUCUUCACAGUCCACGGGUUGUGGGUCGUGGUGCCCUGGAAAGUUGGGAGAGAGAGCUCCGUUCCCCACGCUGGCUGGAAGGGUGCUGGUGCCCGAGGUCAGCAGCGCUUGUGGGCAAGCGGAAAUGGUUGUGAUAAGCAGAGGCUGGAGAAAGGACCUUGGUGAAUUCUCAAGCACGUAAUGAGCAUCAGCUCGUCAUCCGUCUCCAUUCUCCUCGAGGUCCCGAGGUCUCUUCUGUGGCUCAGCUGCUGGCAGGCGCCUGGAAGAAAGACCAGGGAGCUGUGAUUAUGAGCUCGGCCUCCAGAGCCGGACUGGCUUGGAAUGUCAGAUUUGCCACUUACCAGCCGUGUAAAUGACUUACAGCAAAUGGCUUCAUGGCCUGGGCCUCAGUUUACUCGUGUGUGAAAGAGCAUAACAGUCUUGUCCGAACUGGGAUGUCGUGAGGAGUAAAUGAGUUAAUGAAUGCGUUAGUCCUUGCAUGGUGCUGAGAACACCGUCCACUGUGGCUGUGAGGGCCGCGCUAUGGGUGGGGCAGGACAGGGGCUGGGGAAGACCAGUCACACCCAGGGGUAAGGCCCCUCCAAGGUGGCCAAGUUGGGAAGGAGACAAGUCGUGUCCCACCAGCUUCCACGCUGAUGCCACCCAAGGGCACACUCCCCACCCUCAAAGUGUGCCCUCAGGAAAAACUCUAGAAACUUCCUUGUCCAGUCAGGAUUCAGUCAAGACAACAUUCCACCCUAGCUGUUUCAAGAAGGAAAUAAAUCUCUUAAUAACAAGGUUCAGUUCACAAAACCGCUGGAAAGGCUAGGGGUGCGAAGGAGGCCCCUGCAGCGGGUCAGGAAGGGUGGGAUUGGGGGACUUGAUGCUGGUGGUCCCGGCGGCGGCCUGCUGCCCUGCAGCUCUCUGUGACCGGUCACAGGGGCAGCAGCUGGCACGGGGAGGGAGAAAGGUGGUGUGCAGGCGUCCGGCCCCUGAGCUGUGGGAGGGCACAUAGGAAAAGGGAGGUAUGCUGAGAUGCCGUCCGACGACCUGUCAACCCCUCCCACCCUCACACUCCUGGGGGAGAAACCGGGUGGUUAGUCCAGAGAAAACCUCCCUGCAGUACCGACUGUGCGCCGUGCUGGCCUGAGCCUCACACAUGUUUUCUUUAGUCCUCACGACAGCCAUGUGAGAGCCGAGACUCUGAGAGGUGAGGUGACCUGAUAAAGCAGUGACAGAACCAGGACAGAACCCCAGGUCUGUGUGCACAUGCGCUUGGGCCCUGCCCCGGAUGCUCUCUGAGCCAGGCCAGGGGUCGAGCCACUCAUUCCACACCCAUUGAUGGAGCCCCGCCACAUGCCAGUCUGGGUCCUAGGUGUUUGGGACAUGGCAGCAAACCAAACAACAAAAGUCCUCACGGAGCUGACAUUCCACUGAGGGGGUGGGUACUGACCCCCUCCCCCCCACAAAUAUGUAUAAACAAUCUGUGUGGCGCUCAGCGCUGUGAAGGAACAAAGCAGAGGGAGGGGUUAGAGGGCGACACGGUGGGGCAGUGCUGCUCCAUGCAGGCGGGCCAGGGACCUAACGGAAGGAGGAGGCAAACACGUGGCUAUUCGAGGAAAGGGCAGCGGAGGCAGUGGAGACAGAGGCAGCAAGCCAAACCGCCAGAGGCAGGCAGAAGCGUGGAAUGUGCAAAGACCAGCGGAGCAAGGAGAUCGUGUGGCUGGAGAGGAGAGAGCUGGGAAAUGAGAUGGGUCAUCCUGCCUGCUGUGUGGAGGACAGAAUGGAGGGGAGCCAGAGAGAUGAGGCAGCCUGGACAUCAACGCUGUUGAGCUCUCCUGGCAGUGCUCAGAGAAGGCUGAGACCUCCUCACCUCCACAGAAGUUGGUGUCUUAUGUGGGGAAACCCCAGUUUGCCAGAAGGACGCCUUGGGGUGAUCACGCCUUCCUGCAUCUGAAUGUGUCCUCUGACUGCGCCUUCCAUAGGCACCGAGGCGGAACGAGAGUGAUCAACCACUGUGGAUUGCAAUUAACAAUCGGAAACAACCUUCACGUCUGACAACAGUGGACUGAGUAAAUAAAUUAUGUAGA